GGUUAAGCGACUAAGCGUACACGGUGGAUGCCCUGGCAGUCAGAGGCGAUGAAGGACGUGCUAAUCUGCGAAAAGCGUCGGUAAGGUGAUAUGAACCGUUACAGCCGGCGAUGUCCGAAUGGGGAAACCCAGUGCAAUUCGUUGCACUAUCGUUAACUGAAUACAUAGGUUAACGAGGCGAACCGGGGGAACUGAAACAUCUAAGUACCCCGAGGAAAAGAAAUCAACCGAGAUUCCCCCAGUAGCGGCGAGCGAACGGGGAGCAGCCCAGAGUCUGAAUCAGCUUGUGUGUUAGUGGAACGGUCUGGAAAGUCCGACGGUACAGGGUGAUAGUCCCGUACACCAAAAUGCACAGGCUGUGAACUCGAAGAGUAGGGCGGGACACGUGGUAUCCUGUCUGAAUAUGGGGGGACCAUCCUCCAAGGCUAAAUACUCCUGACUGACCGAUAGUGAACCAGUACCGUGAGGGAAAGGCGAAAAGAACCCCGGCGAGGGGAGUGAAAAAGAACCUGAAACCGUGUACGUACAAGCAGUGGGAGCACCUUCGGGUGUGACUGCGUACCUUUUGUAUAAUGGGUCAGCGACUUAUAUUCUGUAGCAAGGUUAACCGUAUAGGGGAGCCGCAGGGAAACCGAGUCUUAACUGGGCGUUAAGUUGCAGGGUAUAGACCCGAAACCCGGUGAUCUAGCCAUGGGCAGGUUGAAGGUUGGGUAACACUAACUGGAGGACCGAACCGACUAAUGUUGAAAAAUUAGCGGAUGACUUGUGGCUGGGGGUGAAAGGCCAAUCAAACCGGGAGAUAGCUGGUUCUCCCCGAAAGCUAUUUAGGUAGCGCCUCGUGAAUUCAUCUUCGGGGGUAGAGCACUGUUUCGGCUAGGGGGUCAUCCCGACUUACCAACCCGAUGCAAACUACGAAUACCGAAGAAUGUUAUCACGGGAGACACACGGCGGGUGCUAACGUCCGUCGUGAAGAGGGAAACAACCCAGACCGCCAGCUAAGGUCCCAAAGUCACAGUUAAGUGGGAAACGAUGUGGGAAGGCACAGACAGCCAGGAUGUUGGCUUAGAAGCAGCCAUCAUUUAAAGAAAGCGUAAUAGCUCACUGGUCGAGUCGGCCUGCGCGGAAGAUGUAACGGGGCUAAACUGUGCACCGAAGCUGCGGCAGCGACACUAUGUGUUGUUGGGUAGGGGAGCGUUCUGUAAGCCUGCGAAGGUGGCCUGUGAGGGUUGCUGGAGGUAUCAGAAGUGCGAAUGCUGACAUAAGUAACGAUAAUGCGGGUGAAAAGCCCGCACGCCGGAAGACCAAGGGUUCCUGUCCAACGUUAAUCGGGGCAGGGUGAGUCGACCCCUAAGGCGAGGCCGAAAGGCGUAGUCGAUGGGAAACAGGUUAAUAUUCCUGUACUUGGUGUUACUGCGAAGGGGGGACGGAGAAGGCUAUGUUAGCCGGGCGACGGUUGUCCCGGUUUAAGCAUGUAGGCGGAGGUUCCAGGUAAAUCCGGUACCUUUUAACGCUGAGGUGUGAUGACGAGGCACUACGGUGCUGAAGUAACAAAUGCCCUGCUUCCAGGAAAAGCCUCUAAGCAUCAGGUAACAUUGAAUCGUACCCCAAACCGACACAGGUGGUCAGGUAGAGAAUACCAAGGCGCUUGAGAGAACUCGGGUGAAGGAACUAGGCAAAAUGGUGCCGUAACUUCGGGAGAAGGCACGCUGAUAUGUAGGUGAAGCCCCUGCGGGUGGAGCUGAAAUCAGUCGAAGAUACCAGCUGGCUGCAACUGUUUAUUAAAAACACAGCACUGUGCAAACACGAAAGUGGACGUAUACGGUGUGACGCCUGCCCGGUGCCGGAAGGUUAAUUGAUGGGGUUAUCCGUAAGGAGAAGCUCUUGAUCGAAGCCCCGGUAAACGGCGGCCGUAACUAUAACGGUCCUAAGGUAGCGAAAUUCCUUGUCGGGUAAGUUCCGACCUGCACGAAUGGCGUAAUGAUGGCCAGGCUGUCUCCACCCGAGACUCAGUGAAAUUGAACUCGCUGUGAAGAUGCAGUGUACCCGCGGCAAGACGGAAAGACCCCGUGAACCUUUACUAUAGCUUGACACUGAACAUUGAGCCUUGAUGUGUAGGAUAGGUGGGAGGCUUUGAAGCGUGGACGCCAGUCUGCGUGGAGCCAACCUUGAAAUACCACCCUUUAAUGUUUGAUGUUCUAACGUUGGCCCCUGACCGGGGUUGCGGACAGUGUCUGGUGGGUAGUUUGACUGGGGCGGUCUCCUCCCAAAGAGUAACGGAGGAGCACGAAGGUUAGCUAAUCCUGGUCGGACAUCAGGAGGUUAGUGCAAUGGCAUAAGCUAGCUUGACUGCGAGCGUGACGGCGCGAGCAGGUGCGAAAGCAGGUCAUAGUGAUCCGGUGGUUCUGAAUGGAAGGGCCAUCGCUCAACGGAUAAAAGGUACUCCGGGGAUAACAGGCUGAUACCGCCCAAGAGUUCAUAUCGACGGCGGUGUUUGGCACCUCGAUGUCGGCUCAUCACAUCCUGGGGCUGAAGUAGGUCCCAAGGGUAUGGCUGUUCGCCAUUUAAAGUGGUACGCGAGCUGGGUUUAGAACGUCGUGAGACAGUUCGGUCCCUAUCUGCCGUGGGCGCUGGAGAAUUGAGGGGGGCUGCUCCUAGUACGAGAGGACCGGAGUGGACGCAUCACUGGUGUUCGGGUUGUCAUGCCAAUGGCAUUGCCCGGUAGCUAAAUGCGGAAGAGAUAAGUGCUGAAAGCAUCUAAGCACGAAACUUGCCCCGAGAUGAGUUCUCCCUGANNNNNNNNNNNUCCUGAAGGAACGUUAAAGACGAUGACGUUGAUAGGUCGGGUGUGUAAGCGUAGCGAUACGUUGAGCUAACCGAUACUAAUGAACCGUGAGGCUUAACCUU
rnacentral:rRNA from 1 species